ACGGCUACCACAUCUAAGGAAGGCAGCAGCGCGCAAAUUACCCAAUCCUAAUACAGGGAGGUAGUGACAAGAAAUAACAAUACAGGACUUUUUGGUUUUGUAAUUGGAAUGAGUUAAGUAUAAACCCCUUUACAAGUAUCAAUUGGAGGGCAAGUCUGGUGCCAGCAGCCGCGGUAAUUCCAGCUCCAAUAGCGUAUAUUAAAGUUGUUGCAGUUAAAAAGCUCGUAGUUGGAUUUCUGUUAAUAAUUUAUAUAAUAUAUUUUGAUAGAUAUUUAUAUAAUAUUAACAUAAUUCAUAUUACUAUUUUUUUUUAGUAUAUGAAAUUUUACUUUGAGAAAAUUAGAGUGCUUAAAGCAGGCAUAUGCCUUGAAUACUCCAGCAUGGAAUAAUAUUAAAGAUUUUUAUCUUUCUUAUUGGUUCUAAGAUAAGAAUACUAAGUACGGCUAG
rnacentral:rRNA from 1 species